UUUGGAGAAGGUGCUUCGGGUGCGACCCCGGUCCAAGUCCCUUGGAACAGGGUGUCCCAGAGGGUGAGAAUCCCGUAUGUGGCCGAUGGUCCGGCCCAUGUGAAGCCCUUUCGACGAGUCGAGUUGUUUGGGAAUGCAGCUCUAAAUGGGUGGUAAAUUUCAUCUAAAGCUAAAUAUCUGUCGAAGACCGAUAGCGCACAAGUAGAGUGAUCGAAAGAUGAAAAGCACUUUGAAAAGAGAGUCAAACAGUACGUGAAAUUGUUGAAAGGGAAGCGCUUGCAACCAGACUCGCUCGCGGGUGUUCAGCCGUCUUUAGGGGCGGUGCAUUCUCCCGCGGCCGGGCCAGCAUCGGUUAGGCGGCCGGAUAAAGGCCUCGGGAAUGUGGCUCUUUUCGGGGAGUGUUAUAGCCUGGGGUGUAAUGCGGCCAGCCUGGACCGAGGACCGCGCAUUCGCUAGGAUGCUGGCGUAAUGGUUGCCAGCGACCCGUCUUGAAACACGGA
rnacentral:rRNA from 1 species